rnacentral:rRNA from 1 species
CCUACGGGUGGCAGCAGUGAGGAAUAUUGGUCAAUGGGCGCGAGCCUGAACCAGCCAAGUCGCGUGAGGGAAGACGGUCCUAUGGAUUGUAAACCUCUUUUGUCGGGGAGCAAAAGACGCCACGCGUGGAGUUCCGAGAGUACCCGAAGAAAAAGCAUCGGCUAACUCCGUGCCAGCAGCCGCGGUAAUACGGAGGAAGCGAGCGUUAUCCGGAUUUAUUGGGUUAAAGGGGUGCGCAGGCGGAAGAUCAAGGCAGCGGUAAAAUUGCGGGGCUCAACCACUUCGAGCCGUUGAAACUGGGUUUCUUGAGUGCGCGAGAAGUAUGCGGAAUGCGUGGUGUAGCGGUGAAUUGCAUAGAUAUCACGCAGAACUCCGAUUGCGAAGGCAGCAUACCGGCGCUCAACUGACGCUCAUGCACGAAAGUGUGGGUAUCGAACAGGAUUAGAUACCCUUGUAGUC